GAGAGGAAUAUUGGUCAAUGGACGAGAGUCUGAACCAGCCAAGUCGCGUGAAGGAAGACGGUUCUAUGAAUUGUAAACUUCUUUUGUGCAGGAAUAAAGUGGGUUACGUGUAACCUUUUGUAUGUACUGUACGAAUAAGGAUCGGCUAACUCCGUGCCAGCAGCCGCGGUAAUACGGAGGAUCCGAGCGUUAUCCGGAUUUACUGGGUUUAACGGGUGCGUAGGUGGAUUGAUAAGUCAGCGGUGAAAGUUUGCAGCUUAACUGUAAAAUUGCCGUUGAAACUGUCGGUCUUGAGUGCAAAUGAGGUAGGCGGAAUGUGUUGUGUAGCGGUGAAAUGCUUAGAUAUAACACAGAACUCCGAUUGCGAAGGCAGCUUACUGGGAUGCAACUGACACUGAUGCACGAAAGCGUGGGUAUCAAACAGGAUUAGAUACCCUAGUAGUCC
rnacentral:rRNA from 1 species